ACGGUGCCGCUUUGGUCGUUGGUUCCAGAGUCUGCUGCUCUUUUUCGUCAGUGCCGACUUUCUUGUGUUUUCUGGAGUCGUCCUGCGUGCUACGGGCCUAUAAAUAGGCUGCUUCUCCUCCUGUGGUGCUGCGUGUGGUUUCAUUGUUGUCUUGGUGACUAGCAGCGCCUCACGAAGCACUGGGAGGCUUUCCCGGCCGCAUUGCUUGCCGGCGGCCCCGGCGCACCGCCAGCCUUGUGCCUCGCUGCACGCUGGACAACAGCUUCGUGAGGCCCCGUCGCCUUGCUAGGCUCGCCACUCGCGGCUGCAUCGCUGGCCGGCGGUCCCGGCACGCCGCCCGCUUUGUGUACGGCCGGUUGCACGUUGGACGACAGCUUCGGCCUUCGGAAUGCCUGCUCCCUGCCCCCACGGCGCCUGCAAUCUUGGAUUCUGCCUCCCCAGGGGACGACGGGAAGGCAGCCUGCGGCGACCCAUGGACUGGAUGGACGACAACUUGGAAGACGUGAACCCUAUCCCGCGUGGCGCCUUGACGCUCUCCCAGUCUCCCUGCCGGAUGAGGCGGCCUGUCGUCCGGCUCUCGCUCUUUCUGGCAUCACAUAGCGUAUAGCAGAGCGGAGCGUGUGCGUGGCGAGCUCUCCGCUAGCACCACGAAGGUCCUGCCUGAACGACGCUCUUGGCUGUGUGCCUUGUGUGUGAUGCUUCCUGAAGAAGCUAUUGUGUGUGUGCUAGAUCGUAGGCAUGCACCAGCAGUACGUCGGCGCAUGGGGCCGCUCUCCAUCGACUCCUCGCUGCCGCAUGAGUAAGGAUGGCAAUGUAUAGGGUACGGGGCGGGUACAACCAUACCAUACCCGUGUAGUCAAUGGAUAUAAAAUUCUACCCAUACUUAUACCCACAGGUAUGAAGCUUUACACAUACCCAUAUCCAUACCUACGGGUAUGGAACUUUACACGUACCCAUAUCCGACGGGUACCCAUACCCAUUGGGUACCAAACGGGUAGAUCAAAUAGUACGCAAGUUAUUCACAAUUUCACACUCAUUGGUAGCACAUUUGACAAAAAACAUUUGAUGGAGACCGCAGGAUUUCGUGUGAUGGUGUGAGGCUUAAUUACGGGAGUAGUUGGGUCAACGAGCUCCUUUGCUGAUACCGACCCUUGCGCAUAUGUUGGAGCUCCAUGGGUAGGUCCACAUGUUAGUAUAAACGGGUAGGGUAUGGGCAUAUCCAUGGAUACAAGGCUAUACUCGUGUCCUACCCAUGACUUAACAGGUAGAAUAUGGGUACUACCCAUGGGUAUAAAAUUGUGCGCAUACCUUGCCCAUGCGGGUACGGUAUCCGCGGGUACCCGUACUCAUGGGUAAAUUGCCAUCCUUACUGUUACAGUUAAUUAACCAUGUGUUAAUUAUGGGAUUAAUCCCUGCUUGUACUAACCAUAGGCCGUUGUAAAACUGCCGCGUCGGUUCUCGCCGAACAGGCACCUCCUCUGAACAGACACCUUUUCCAUGGUGUCCUUUCCCUUGUAUAAAUAGCAGAUGGCAUCUAAUAAAGAUGAGACUUGAUUCAUUCAAAACACGUUAUCAGCACGCUCUGGCGAGAGCAGAAGGCCACGAGAGAUUAGGCCAUCCCGGCGGUUACGGAUGUUACUUUCGUCGCCGAUGGCUUACAGGCGAUGCAACCGGAAGCGGAAGUAGGAACCGGAAUCGUUCCAUUGAGCGCUCGCGGCGAGACAUCUUCCGGUGACGAGGCGAUGGAGCCCAGGUGCCGGCGCUCGACCGCAGCGUCUUCCAGCGCAUGGUUUGGUCUCACCCUCUCCUUCCCCUUCUCCCAGACGCCGUCCACAGUGGCCGCAUAAGCGGCCCUCUCCGGCACGGCCGACCGCGGCGCAUCUGCGACCCCGACCUGCUACGAAAGGCACGGCGGCGUGGCAAGCGCCUCCCGACUGGAGACUCGGCGCCUAUAGCGGGGAACAACCCGGCCUCGACCUCCCGGCGCGCGGAGCCCACAGCGGAUCUUCGACAGCGGCGCACCCGCAUCUUCUACGUCCUGGCGACGACGAAGACGGGCGAUGGAGGCGAGGCAGCCAGCGCCCGACGCGGCUCCCGGCAUCCGCGUGGAGUUCCUGCAGCCAUGGUCCUGCUCGUGGCGAAGAUGGAGCGGGCUCUCCCUUCAGCUGACUGUGUGCAGCCCGCCCCCGACGGUCGGCUAGGCCCGAACCUGGCACAGGCCUCCUCCGGCGCGGCAAGGCCCAGCGCGCGAACGGUUUCGUUUCCGCCGCCAGACUACGGCGGUGACGACCCUCGACCUGCGCUCCUUCCUCCGGCCGGCUGGUGCGCGACUACGCGGAGCGGGACGUCGAGUACGGCCUCGGCCCGGUCCUCCUCGCGUAGCCAUGGCCCUCGGCCUAGGUUGACGCGGACCUCCACGGCACGCGGCGCGGUGCCCGUGGCGUCGUUCAGCAUACGCCGACGAACUCCGGCGCGAGGCAACUCAGCACCGCGCGCGAGGCGAAGGCAUCCAUGGCUGGAUCUCCCGGAAGCGGCGGCGAUGGCUCCUGUGUAAAGCUAACCGAAUCGAUUGAUUCGUGUACUAAUUACAGGCCACACAGGACAACGAUGGGAACCUUAUCUCUUUGAAGGUUUUUUCAUUGUAGCCCUCUGGUUAUGCACUAACCCCGCACAAGUGGCUAUGUAUUUGCAUUGACCAUCAAAUCAGGCCACAGGCUGUGCAUUGGAGACCAUCAGAUAUCUCCAUCACAUUUACAAUAUAUGUAAAUGAUGAUUUCAGAUAUACUCUGCGAAAAUGGGACAUGUUCAUCGUAUUUGCUCCCUAGCAAUUCCUAGAACAUGUUCUGCAUUGCGAUUGAGAUUAAGUUUUCUCGCACAACAAUAUUGAUUUGCGAUUGAGAAUUUUUUUCUCGCAAAAUAAUUGCGGUUGAGAUCAAUUUUCUCUCGCAAAAUAUUAAUUCACUUCGCUGAAUUAUCUUGCAAUUUGAUACAAGAUCUCAUUUAAUUUGAGAUCUAUACAAUUCAAGUUUUUCACUUGAGGAUCGAGUUUGCAACACCAUUAUUAUUCAUUACAUUAGUAAUGUACAUCUGUAGAGUACCUUGUAUUCCAGAAUAAACUAUGAUGUUAUAUAUCUCCAUGUUAUUCUACAUGUUGAGAUUAAUUACAUCUACUAUUUGCAAUUGAGAUUUUCAAUUUCUUGUAAAUAAAAAAUCAAUUCAUCUUUAUUGAAUCUUUCAACUUAAUACGAGGAAGAAUUGAUAUGCAAAACUCAAAGUGAUUUUCGUCAAAUUGAUGUAUUGAGAUCACAAGGUAGUGUGUAGAUCUACUGCUUUGCAGAUUAUCACCACUAUUGUUAAAGCUUACAUUAUGAUUGCUUUACAAAAUGCUCUCCCACACAUUUUACUGAGUCAUGACAUAAGGCAUUAGGAAUGAGUAUCUACUGAUUUCAUCAGAUUAUACUCCCUAGUGCUGCGAGAUCUACUCCCUUUCAGAGAUUAUCUUCAAGAUGUCAUACUUAGCAAUUUGAAGUUCGCACUGAUGGUUUCAAGAUAACUUCUUGAAAUACCCAUCAAUUUUGCAAAAUUCAUUACAACACUAACCAUGAUGGUCUUUAAUUUACUACUCGUAAAUUAAUUAUCUCUGGUUUGCCCCUUUAAAUAAUCGAUGGCUAAGUAAUUUGAGGCUCUUGCCCUCAAUGGCCAGAACUUGCUUAAGCGGGUCAUGGACAUCAAGAUCAGUCUUGCCUCUCAUGGGAUAGCGCGUGUAAUCCAAGCCACGCCACCGGGACACAAAUUACCUCAAGGGUAAAGGUUUGAAGCUCACUUCAAACCUUCAACCUGACACCAUCAUGAAAGUCAGUUGUUUGCAUGAUGUUCUUCUAGAACCGAGCAAUAAAAUGACUAUCCAGCUGUCACGGGACCCUAUGAGCACGGAGAACAUGAAGGUUGGAUAUGCAUCAACUGACAUGUUUGGAGACUACAUUUAGUCCCUCAAUCUCCUUAGUGAUCUAUUAAUUUAUGUCCAUUUCUGAUGUUCUAAUACGAACAUGAUUAUUGUUGUCAUCAUAUAUUGUGUAUCACAAUAUAUUGUAUCAGCACUUUAGUACAACACAUUUGUAUGUAUUCUAUAUAUCUGAGUGAUUUUCAUAUUGAGAAUCUUCAAAUCUAUAUAUAGAUUUCUACAGGGGUCAAUCUGAUGAAAGAUCAUAUGUGCCUUGUGGACAUAUGCACCACAAACUCCAUACUCAGGGAAGUGAAAUAUUUCCACUCUCGCCGAGAGAAAGGGGAUAUUUUAAAAUCGCUAGACGUGAUGAAGUAUUUGUUGGCUCAACCCGAGUCAUAUUUACUAUCCCCGUGGGUACUCGAGUAACGUCGGGAUGCUUUAUUGCUUCUCAGGUUCAAUUCGUACCCUACUAAACUAUGGAGGUAUCCGUCAAAAUAGUUUCCGUAGCGAAACUUAUGAUGACAACAAAGGGAAAUAACUUCUCUUUACUAUAUGCAACGGAUAUGGCAAGCACAUUCCCUGUGUAUCAUCUGGAUUGUACUACACAUACGACACAACCCGUAGCACAUGUUGCGUACGAGAUAGUUUUUCAGAGUGUCUUGUACAUGACAAACUUGGCAUACUCGUCUUGGUCAUCGAGACAUUGGGUUGAAACCGAAACUAUCAGCAAUUCCAUCGGUUUAUGAUUAUUAUGAUGCUAAAUUCUAACAAUAUUUGGAUUUUGUGUGCACUACAUAUGACACAGGGAAGCUAAUUUUAAGGAUUGCGCACCUUAAAGUUUACGCUGAACCACUCAGACUCCUUGAAUGCAUCAAGUCGAGGUAAGUGGUUUUUCCCAACCAUUGACUAGACUAUUCAGGUAUCCAUGGUUUUCCAAAGACACAUCUACAUGAUGGUCUCAAGUGUGCUUUAUUCACACGAAACCAUUGACUCAUUAUCCUGACAUCGAUUUCAAGCAAAUCGAAUGGAUAGCAUUGCAGAAUUCUCCUUGAGUGCCUUUUUCUAUGGCCCUCAGAUUGAAGUUUAGCAAUUUAUCCUAAUGUCUAGACUCAAAAUGGUCUGGUAGAAUCCCAUCCAAAGAAUUGAGCUCAUUUCAUGAUCUUUACUUUGAAAUUGCAACUUACCAACUUUACGUUGGAGUCAUGGAGUUUUACACGCUCAUGACCAAACUGCAUAAUUUUAUUCCCCUCUAUCUUUGAUACGUGGAAUUCUACCAAGUAUUUCCUUUCUGCGGUAAUUCGGUUACACACCGAUAUCAUCACCCCGACAUACAUCAUUGGCCCCUCAACAUAUAGUUGGGAUCUAUAUGAGGAAUAAUUGUAUUACCGUCAAUACUUCAAGCCCCUCACAUGGGGAGUUAUUCAAGGCCAGUAUGUUGAUUCAGUGAGGAAUAUUUCCAGACAUUAGGGGGAGAAUUCAAGUACCAUAAAGAAUGCCAGGAAAUUAGUGGAAUGUUCAGCACAUUUCUGCCUCAUAUCCACGUAAUCAAAGAGCUGAACCAUGUGUUCAGAAGAUUUGCAACAUAUUGCAAAUAACCUGCCAGAUUCAUUUACUAAUUAUAAAGGUGUUACACAAUCCUACAAUCCUGCAAAAGUAUGCCUGAAAGAGUGGAGGUACCAACAAAAUCCACUCCACUCCCUGUUCAAAGCAACAGGGGGAGAUGUAUGGUAGAAGUACAUCAGGAUUCAGCUUCUCGCAAGUAAGGAUAUCUAGGCCUGUGAAUCAGUAAAUGCAAGUCAACUUCACGUUGGCAGACACCUAAUGGGUAGUAUACACCCAGUGGACGGGAAACCUCCACCAACCCAGGUCAUAGUGCACACAAUGACGGGGACAUCGGAAUACCCGACUCAAUCGCAUUGGGAAAUCGCAAGCAGUCACCAUGGGUAACGAUAUUUCCAUCAACAAUAUAUUGAUAUAUAGAUUCUGGAGAAUCAUAUACCCGGAAGUCUACAAUUGUCGACAUACAUUUCUCAACUAGAUUGCAAAAACUUUUCAAAUAAUUCAGAUCCAAGACCAUGGCCAUGGAAAAGUGUGAACAACACUCGGACUGAACUCAAGCUAAGGGUAUAAUCUAGGUAGAAAUGAUCUUGCUCAAUAAUGGGAAGGUAUUCAUAAGCAAUACCUACAACAUUUUUUUUUCUGGAAACAGAAUUGAGAACAACGAGGUGGUGAAAUAAAGAGCAAGUAUUGUAGCACAAGGGUUUAGGCAGAUACCUAACUAUUCUCCAGAGGUGGAAUCUCAUUCUGAUAACUUAUAUCAUUGGCAGUACAAAAUCAUCUAUCUCUGCAGUUGAUAGAUGUAGUGAUCACAUAUCCAUGUGGCUCACUAGAUUCAGACAUGUAUGAUUGAUUUCCAAUGGAAUCUCAAUUCUGAAUCGAAAUACAAAAUGCAACAUACAUUGUGUAAAAAUCAGUAAGUCACCAUAUGACUUAUUGUUGUCGGUACAUUUGGUACAACCGACUUAGUGAGUUCCUUUCCACAAGGAUUACUCCUACAAUGAUGGUUAUCCAUGUUUGUCUGUCAUACACAGUGAUUACUCUUGCAAUGGUGAUACAUGUAAUCAUCUAAACGACGGAGUUUAAAUGAACGAUUUGGGUAAAACCAAGAUACCGCUCGUUACUACAACUUGAGCACCUUCACUCAUACAUUUUGGUACACUAUGUUGUCUAUAUCCAAAAUAUAUUGGAGAAAUUCAUUGUGGACAAGUCUUAUACAUCCAUAACUCUCAUGGUGGUUCAUUCUCUAGACGUAGAGAAAGAUCUAUUUAGACCAAGAGAUGAUGGAAAUAAAAUAUUGGGACUCAACGUUCCUUAAUGCCAUUGGAUCCACCAAACACAAUUGGUUGGUACUCAAGAAUAUCUUUCAAUAUCUCCAAGGCAUCAAACAUCUUGUCCUGAUUUUUCAGUUUCACAGAAAUGUGAACACCGAUAUCAUUGGAUACAUCGAUCAGAUCCCACUAUAUCAGAUCGUAGACAAGCUUAGUGUUCCUACUAGGUGUGGUAGCCCUCUCAUGAAGAGUCUUCAAGACAGACCUCAUGGCUACAUCCACCAACCAUUAUCUCAAGGAUAAUGUUUCUUGUGUUGCCCGGAUGCAAACAUGUUACGUAAUAAGCAAUAUCGCUAUAUUGCAUAUCUUGCAAGUCAAAUCAUGCGACUGAUUUGUUCACCAGGUCUCUAUCAACUUCUAUGUUCUUGAAAUGUGUUCAUGGAAUUCGUAUAUAACGACUUCGGAAUAUGCAAGAAUCAGGGGGAGUAUCUUCCUGAAUUGUUCCUGUUGAAAGCAUCAUAUUAUACUCUUUUUCCCUUCAUGAGUUUACUUUAUAGGUUCUCAUAAAGGUUUUUAAUGAGGUAAUAUCAACACAAGACCAUAUGUCAUAUUUUCUGUUUUCCCCACCGGGGUUUUUAAGAAAGUAUAUUAGACAUAUUUAUUGUCCUCUAAACUCUAUGGGUUUUUCUCAUAUUGAGUUACACAGACAAUAAUCAUUAUAUGUUGCGGCAUUUUCUCCUUAUUUUUCCUAUUGGGUUUGAAGGAGUUUUGGCAACAUAUCAAACACCUCUAUCCUCAUUUUUUCCCACAGGAUUUUUGGAGGAAACUUUAUCAAGAUGACGUCUGCUCACAAGAUCAAGCAUUGAUUAGGUUGAGGGUUACAAUUAAUUAACCAUGUGUUAAUUAUGGGAUUAAUCCCUGCUUGUACUAACCGCAAGCCGUUGUAAAACUGCCGCGUCGGUUCCCGCCGAACAGGCACCUCCUCUGAACAGACACCUUUUCCA
rnacentral:lncRNA from 1 species